GAUGAACGCUAGCGGCAGGCUUAAUACAUGCAAGUCGAGGGGCAGCAUGACUGUAGCAGUACAGUUGAUGGCGACCGGCAAACGGGUGCGGAACACGUACAGAACCUUCCUUCGAGCGGGGAAUAGCCCAGAGAAAUUUGGAUUAAUACCCCAUAGUAUACUGGAAAGGCAUCCCUUUGGUCUUAAAGAUUUAUCAAUUGAAGAUGGCUGUGCGGCUGAUUAGGUAGUUGGCGGGGUAACGGCCCACCAAGCCUGCGAUCAGUAACUGGUGUGAGAGCACGACCAGUCACACGGGCACUGAGACACGGGCCCGACUCCUACGGGAGGCAGCAGUAAGGAAUAUUGGUCAAUGGACGAAAGUCUGAACCAGCCAUGCCGCGUGGAGGAUGAAGGUCCUCUGGAUUGUAAACUUCUUUUAUAUGGGACGAAAAAAGGCUUUUCCAAGUCGUCUGACGGUACCAUAUGAAUAAGCACCGGCUAACUCCGUGCCAGCAGCCGCAGUAAUAC
rnacentral:rRNA from 1 species